CACGUAGGGUGCGAGCGUUGUCCGGAAUUACUGGGCUUAAAGAGUUCGUAGGCGGCGCGGUAAGUAGGGUGUGAAAGCCCUCGGCUUAACCGAGGAAUUGCGCUCUAAACUACCGUGCUUGAGGAACCUAGAGGUGAGCAGAACUGAUGGUGGAGCGGUGAAAUGCGUUGAUAUCAUCAGGAAUACCGGAGGCGAAGGCAGCCCCCUGGGUCGACACUGACGCUCAGGCACGAAAGCGUGGGGAGCAAACAGG
rnacentral:rRNA from 1 species